GACGAACGCUGGCGGCGUGCUUAACACAUGCAAGUCGAGCGGUAAGGCCCUUUCGGGGGUACGACGAGCGGCGAACGGGUAGGAGUAACACGUGGGUGACCUCGCCCUCCAGCUCUGGGAGUAAGACCUGGGAAACCGGGGUACUAAUAACUGGAUAUGACUCCAUGACGCAUGUUGUGGGGUGGAAAGCCUUGUGCGGCUGAGGAUGGGCCCGCGGCCUAUCAGCUUGUUGGUGGGGNGAGNGGCCUACCAAGGCGACGACGGGUAGCCGGCCUGAGAGGGCGACCGGCCACACUGGGACUGAGACA
rnacentral:rRNA from 1 species